rnacentral:lncRNA from 1 species
AGGCCACCUACUCCUAUAAGUCUAAUUUUAAAUAGUAAAAUAGUUCUAAGAAGUCAAUCAGGGAAAAAAAUGGCUGUCAAAGUCUCAAAGAAAAAUCGUAUUAGCCAUGGAUAGAGACUCACCUCUUGAAUCAUUUGUGUCUGAGAAUAGCCUAAUAUCACAAUAAUGUGUUUGUACAUGUGUUAGUUAAUAUUGUUUUCAGAGUAUUUAAUCUCUCAUGAUUAUUGUAAAGAUGAAAAAAGAAAUAGUGGGCAAUGUAUGUGAGUAUUUAAUUUUGCCUGACAAUUCUGUCUUUUAGAAUGAUAAAUGUAAGAAGUAAAAUAAAACGGUUCAUUCUCAGAACAACUAAGCCAGCUCACUUAAGUCUGGGCCCUGCUGGCAUUGGCUAGUCUAGCUACCCCCACCCAAACACAAAAGUUUAGAGAAGAAAAUGACUGAGUCAAGCUUGCCUAAUGACUUUUGGACAUAAAGUUUAUGGUCCUAGAAAGCCUUAAAAUAAGUAGGAUAUAAAACAUGUAAAUUAACCCACACAUUAUGUGGGUUGAGAAGCAGAAAAAUGUCAGUAGAACACUCGGCCAGUGCAUAAAGAAGGAAGAGACCUCUGUUCUGGGUUAUAAAACUGCUCUUUGUGCUCAAUUUGUCCCCUGCUUUUGUUUGCCAGAAUGUACAAGAUUAUAAAAUAAACUCACUUUUACUUUUCUGAGUCUCCAGAGCUCUUUGUUAUGAAGUGAAGAUCUUCAUAAAACAAACAAAUAAACAAAACCAUGGAAAUUCUGUGCUUUGCAUUUUGGUAUAGACAUGUGAUCUCAGCACCAGGGAAGCAAAGACAGGAGAACUGGAGUUGUAGGCCAGCUUGAGGUGUCAUAGGGUUUCUAUAGCUGAGACAAAAAAACAAAACAAAACAAAACAAAAAAAA